rnacentral:rRNA from 1 species
GACGAACCGUGCGAACGUUAUUCGGAAUCAUUGGGCUUAAAGGGUGCGUAGGCGGCGCGGAAAGUAGGGUGUGAAAUCCCUCGGCUCAACCGAGGAAUAGCGCCCUAAACUACCGUGCUCGAGGGAGAUAGAGGUGAGCGGAACUUAGGGUGGAGCGGUGAAAUGCGUUGAUAUCCUAAGGAACACCAGUGGCGAAAGCGGCUCACUGGAUCUCUUCUGACGCUGAGGCACGAAAGCUAGGGGAGCAAACGG